rnacentral:rRNA from 1 species
CGGGUGAGUAACGCGUGAGGAACCUGCCUCAAAGAGGGGGACAACAGUUGGAAACGGCUGCUAAUACCGCAUAAGCCCACGGCUCGGCAUCGAGCAGAGGGAAAAGGAGCAAUCCGCUUUGAGAUGGCCUCGCGUCCGAUUAGCUAGUUGGUGAGGUAGUGGCCCACCAAGGCAACGAUCGGUAGCCGGACUGAGAGGUUGAACGGCCACAUUGGGACUGAGACACGGCCCAG